ensembl:snRNA U7 U7 small nuclear RNA
CAGUGUUAUAGCUGUUAGACUUUGUCUAGCAGGCUUUCUGGUUUUUGCCAGAAAGCCCGU